CUGGUGGAUGAACCAUGGCCGUGCGAUCAGAGCGUGAUUAACGGCCUCGUUGCCUCUGUUAGAGGUACCGAACUGUAGGGGAUCGUUCUCAACUUGCUUCAGCUGGUUGGGAUGGUCGCACGGCUGUCUGACAGGCUUCAAAAAUCUUUUUUGCUCUCUUCAAAGAUCACAAUCAUAAUCAUCCCUAAACUCUAUACUUAGCUGAGGAGGCAGUGAAGUUCUUGGAGAAGGCCGUGAAGUUAUUGGAGGAUAUGACCGGCAGCAUUGCAUGAUUGCAGGUAUAGAUGCGUAGAUGGGUGUGAUGUUCUACAUGAUUGGGAUCAUGGGAUGCAUGGCAAGGCUCGAACUCUUUUGAGAGUGAUAUAGCUAAGCUUCAUUCCAAUGGGGAGAAGAAAUCAGCCUUCUUUGGAAUGGUGCUGAACCAGUUGGGAUUGGCUUGCGCGCAGUUAAAUUUGGGCAUGUAUUGUAGCAUUGCAGAACAGCCCCCUAUCCUAUACAGGUUUUGUGGGUUAGUUAAUAAGAGAUCUCUAAAGCUAUAGCAUCCCAACUCCACUCCCCACCCCAAAAAAAUAAAAUAAAUAAACAAUUACUUGGAGAAAUUAUCUUAACCUUGUUCUUACUUUCCCCCUUUAAGAUUUUAGUGCCCUCUGUUUUUGAGCUGCUAUGUUACAGAAUUUUGGUAUUUAUUAAUGGGUGGUUGAUUUUA